GCUCUAACGGGCAGGCUCGGGAGCGGGAGGGUCCGGGCAGUUUUAGUAGUGUCUUUGGGACAACGGCUGCGGUUGGUAUUUCUCAAGCGGCAACGAGGCCAGCCCCUGGGAAUGCAGCACGAGAAUGAUAGAGUCAGGCUGUCCCCUCAAGAAAUAGUUUAGUGAGGAGACAUGCAGCGGAUAGGCGCAGGAUUCUUCAGAGUUGUGAUUGGGCCCAAAAAGGAGCUAGUCCUCAGACUAAAAAGAGCCGUAGUGCCGGGGUUCUGGGCGCUGUAGUAAAUGGACUCCAAAUGGAGUUGAAGGGAGGGAGGAGUGCGUCAGGCGGAGAUGAAAGGAGAGAGGGAACUACCUGUCCGAUAGGGCAGAAUCGGGGAGAAAGGUUGGUGACUUGAGCUUAGAGAAGGCCAUUGCGGCGGUAGCAGAAGAGGAGAGGCAGGGACCAGAUCGUAGAGUGUGGAACACCGUGACACAAAGUUGGGGCUUUAUCAUAAGAGCAGCAGAAUGACAAGAUCUGAUGUACAUUUUGAAAGGAUCACUGUAACUGCUGGUGACGACUGGAUUAUAGGAGGGCAGGAAUUGUGAGAAACCACUCAGAAGGCUACUGCUGUAGAUGAGCGAUGUGACCUAGCGUAUGGGAGAGAAGUGGACGAAUCAAAAGUAUAUUUAGCAGAAUCCUGCUUAUCUGUGAAAUGCAGUUAACACAUCAGCUGGACCUAUUUCCCGAAUGCAGGGUAACCCUUCUGUUAUUUAAAGAUGUAAAAAAUGCGGGAGACUUGAGAAGAAAGGCCAUGGAAGGCACCAUCGAUGGAUCACUGAUAAAUCCUACAGUGGUAAAUAUAAAUUUUAAGAAUGAAUGAGCCUGCUGGGUGCGGUGGCUCACGCCUGUAAUGCCAGCACUUUAGGAGGCCGAGGCGGGUGGAUCAUCUGAGGUCAGGAGUUGAAGACCAGCCUGGCCAACAUGGUGAAACCCUGUCUCAACUAAAAAUACAAAAAUUAGCUGGGCGUGGUGGCGGGCGCCUAUAAUCCCAGCUACUCGGGAGGCUGAGGCAGGAAAAUCAUUUGAACCCUGGAGGCAGAGGUUGCAGUGAGCCAAGAUUGCGCCAUUGCACUCCAGCCUGGGCGACGAGCAAAACUCUGUCUGGAAAAAAAAAAUGGCCAGGCAUGGUAGCUCACGCCUGUAAUCCCAGCCCUUUGGGAGGCCGAGGCAGGCAGAUCAUGAGGUCAGGAGUUUGAGACCAGCCUGGCCAAUAUGGUGAAACCCUGUCUCUACUAAAAAUACAAAAAUUAGCUGAGCAUGGUGGUGGGCACCUGUACUCAGGAGACUGAGGCAGGAGAAUCGCUUGAGCCUGGGAGGCAGAGGUUGCAGUGAGCCGAGAUUGUGCCACUGCACUCCAGCCUGGGCAACAGACCAAGAAUCCGCC
rnacentral:lncRNA from 10 species